AUCCUUUUAUAGUUUGUAAAUGCGAUGACUGGGUGUUCACGUUAUUGUGUGAGAUGUGCCUCCCUCUAGCCCUUUUACAGCUCUGACACAUUACCUGUCUGAUG